AUUGAACGCUGGCGGCAUGCUUUACACAUGCAAGUCGAACGGUAACAGGCCGCAAGGUGCUGACGAGUAGCGAACGGGUGAGUAAUGCAUCGGAACGUGCCCAGUCGUGGGGGAUAACGCAGCGAAAGCUGUGCUAAUACCGCAUACGAUCUAUGGAUGAAAGCGGGGGACCGUAAGGCCUCGCGCGAUUGGAGCGGCCGAUGUCAGAUUAGGUAGUUGGUGGGGGAAAGGCUCACCAAGCCAACGAUCUGUAGCUGGUCUGAGAGGACGACCAGCCACACUGGGACUGAGACACGGCCCAGACUCCUACGGGAGGCAGCAGUGGGGAAUUUUGGACAAUGGGCGCAAGCCUGAUCCGGCAAUGCCGCGUGCAGGAAGAAGGCCUUCGGGUUGUAAACUGCUUUUGUACGGAACGAAAAGGUUUGGGUUAAUACCCUGGGCCGAUGACGGUACCGUAAGAAUAAGCACCGGCUAACUACGUGCCAGCCGCCGCCGUAAGAC
rnacentral:rRNA from 1 species